rnacentral:rRNA from 1 species
GAUGAACGCUGGCGGCGUGCCUAAUACAUGCAAGUCGAGCGAACAGACGAGGAGCUUGCUCCUCUGACGUUAGCGGCGGACGGGUGAGUAACACGUGGAUAACCUACCUAUAAGACUGGGAUAACUUCGGGAAACCGGAGCUAAUACCGGAUAAUAUAUUGAACCGCAUGGUUCAAUAGUGAAAGACGGUUUUGCUGUCACUUAUAGAUGGAUCCGCGCCGCAUUAGCUAGUUGGUAAGGUAACGGCUUACCAAGGCAACGAUGCGUAGCCGACCUGAGAGGGUGGUCGGCCACACUGGCACUGAGACACGGUCCAGACUCCUGCGGGAGGCAGCAGUAGGGAAUCUUACGCAAUGGGCGAAAGCCUGACGGAGCACCGCCGCGUGAGGGAUGAAGGUCUUCGGAUCGUAAAACUCUGUUAUUAGGAAAGAACAAAUGUGUAAGUAACUAUGCACGUCUUGACGGUACCUGAUCAGAAAGCCACGGCUAACUACGUG